rnacentral:lncRNA from 1 species
UCUAAGUUAUCAGUAAACGCCCCGUUUACAACUUGUCACCUAGCUACUACUCGUGCUAUACUCUACCUAGGAACUCCUAGAUAUGAGACCGUGUCUCACUCCCCUCACUACCCCACAACAUAUAAAACAUAUUUUUGUAACAAAUAAAACAAACCGCCUUAGGUAUCUUGCAGUAGAAGGUGCGUUUUAGCUUGCUGGAUAAGUAUGAACUUAUUUGUAAAUCAAAUCUUCAAAAAGAUAUAAAACAAAAUUUAGGUGCGCUGCUUCAAGAGACACAUGUUGUACGGACAUGCUACGACAUCUUGGUCCAACAUUUGGCUAUUGUUGUUUUUGCGAAAUUGUAUCCAAUAUUUAAAACCCAACACUAGCCAAUGGUUUUCUUAAUCAACAAUAGCUAAUAUCUAGAUGCUUUAUAUAUAUUAAAAAAAUCAUUUCGAUACAGAAGUAGAAUACACCAGAUAUCUUGGGUGAGGGAAUGGGAUCAUGGAUACAGGUCUAUAGAGACUGAAAGCAAACUUGUUAUGGUUUGGGAAAUAUAAUAUCCUGUUAUUCCUUGCAUUAUUAUGACCAAAGAAGUAACUUGUUAUGGCGCGUGAAGUGAGUC